rnacentral:pre_miRNA from 1 species
GUUGUCAAAGUGGCUGUGACAUGUUAGAGAUUUAUGCUUCAUAUCACAGCCAGCUUUGAUGAGCG